rnacentral:rRNA from 1 species
UACGUAGGGGGCUAGCGUUGUCCGGAUCUAUUGGGCGUAAAGAGCGUGUAGGCGGCCAGGUAGGUCUGCUGUGAAAACUCGAGGCUCAACCUCGAGACGUCGGCGGAAACCAUCUGGCUAGAGUCCGGAAGAGGAGAAUGGAAUUCCUGGUGUAGCGGUGAAAUGCGCAGAUAUCAGGAAGAACACCCGUGGCGAAGGCGGUUCUCUGGGACGGUACUGACGCUGAGACGCGAAAGCGUGGGGAGCGAACAGG